GUAAGCAGUGAGCUCCCGACGACAGAGAGCUGAUAACGGACGUCUAGUAGACCGAUAACGCUAUAGUUGCAGGGGGGAGGGCUAAAAGCCUAGACUAGACUAUAUUUGGAGACGGUGUCCAGGGAUAUGAUCGUGAACCCUCCCAGCGGGAUCGACUCUGAGUCAGAAUUGAGAGUAUCAACUUUGGAGACGGUCGGAAGGUCGGAAGUGACGGACCUUAUAUAGAGCGUUUUUAUUACCGGUCGUGAAUUCUCCGAACGUGUGUGGUCUCUUGAUUGUAGUGUUUUGAGCUGGUAAAAUAAUAUUGGCUACAGCCGGUCUAUUUCUGACUGCACGCCGACGCUCGACGUUUGCGCAAUGACCUUAGGCGCACUUGGGAAGCGACGCGCGCACAGCGAGAUCAGCGUGAGUUGAGAUGUGGUGUGAGCAGAGAAACUCAAGUCAGGGAUGCCUACAGGGAGAUCUCGGGUAGGGGGAUGCGGAGGCUCAGCAGAUGAGUGCCGGGCUAGCGUCCAAGAGCAUACUCCGCCGGGAAGCCUUGUUCCCCUACAGCGACGCAAUACAUUUGCAGAAGAAGCACGACCGUAUCUCCAAGCCCUGCGUGUUCCUGUCACCUCUGGUAUCCCGUCAAUAGGCGGACAGAGCCAGGGCGGCCUGCUCGGUGCAUAACGUCACAAUUGUUAGUCAAGGCUCUCACCUCACAGGGACGUGGCUGGGAAAAUGCCGUCCUUCAUUUUUUUCCCCUUCCUUCAAGCGUCAGGGCCAUGGGUGCAAAAUGUACCCCGUGCUGGAGGGAGUCUCCGCAGACAGGCGCCACUGCACCGCGCCCGCUGCUUCUCAAAGAUUUAUUGUGCAAUUGAUGGAAAGCGUUGAAAGAGGCGCGCACACACGCGGGAGCUGAACUCAUUCUGGA
ensembl:lncRNA